UACGGGGGGGGGUAAGCGUUGUUCGGAAUUACUGGGCGUAAAGGGCUCGUAGGCGGCCAACUAAGUCGGACGUGAAAUCCCUCAGCUUAACUGGGGAACUGCGUCCGAUACUGGAUGGCUUGGAUUUGGGAGAGGGAUGCGGAAUUCCAGGUGUAGCGGUGAAAUGCGUAGAUAUCUGGAGGAAUACCGGUGGCGAAGGCGGCAUCCUGGACCGGCAUUGACGCUGAGGAGCGAAAGCGUGGGGAGCGAACAGG
rnacentral:rRNA from 1 species